rnacentral:rRNA from 1 species
GCCAUGCGAGUCGAGAGGUGUAAGACCUCGGCAUACUGCUCAGUAACACGUGGUUAACCUGCCCUAAGGUGGAGAAUACUCCCGGGAAACUGGGGUUAAUGCUCCAUAGUGGAUAUGUCCUGGAAUGGUAUAUCCUCGAAAGAUCCGUCGCCUUAGGAUGGGACUGCGUCCGAUUAGGUUGUUGGCGGGGUAACGGCCCACCAAGCCAUUGAUCGGUACGGGUUGUGGGAGCAAGAUCCCGGAGAUGGAUUCUGAGACAUGAAUCCAGGCCCUACGGGGCGCAGCAGGCGCGCAAACUUUACAAUGCGAGCAAUCGUGAUAAGGAAACCCUGAGUGCCUGUCGAUGCAGGCUGUUCAUAUAUCUAAAUCAUAUGUGAAGAAAGGGCAGGGCAAGACCGGUGCCAGCCGCCGCGGUAAUACCGGCUGCUCGAGUGAUGGCCACUAUUACUGGGUUUAAAGCGUCCGUAGCUUGACUGUUAGGUCCCUUGGGAAAUCUUCGCGCUUAACGUGAAGGCGUCUAAGAGAUACCGGCAGUCUUGGAACUGGGAGAGGUAAACCGUACUUCGGGGGUAGGAGUGAAAUCUUGUAAUCCUCGAGGGACGACCUAUGGCGAAGGCAGUUUACCAGAACAGCUUCGACAGUGAGGGACGAAAGCUGGGGGAGCAAACGGGAUUAGAUACCCCGGUAGUCCCAGCCGUAAACAAUGUGCGUUAGGUGUGUCGGUAACCACGCGUUACUGAUGCGCCGAAGAGAAAUCGUGAAACGCACCACCUG